rnacentral:rRNA from 1 species
GAAUUUUGGACAAUGGGCGAAAGCCUGAUCCAGCAAUGCCGCGUGCAGGAUGAAGGCCUUCGGGUUGUAAACUGCUUUUGUACGGAACGAAAAGCUUUGGGUUAAUCACCUGGGGUCAUGACGGUACAGUAAGCAUAAGCACCGGCGCACUACGUGCCAGCAGCCGCGGGAAUACGUAGGGUGCCAGCGUUACUCGGAAUUACUGGGUGUAAAGCGUGCGCAGGCGGUUUUGUAAGACAGGGGUGAAAUCCCCGUGCUCAACCUGGGAACUGCCUUUGUGACUGCAAGGCUAGAGUACGGCAGAGGGGGGUGUAAUUCCGCGUGUAGCAGUGAAAUGCGUAGAUAUGCGGAGGAACACCGAUGGCGAAGGCAACCCCCUGGGCCUGUACUGACGCUCAUGCACGAAAGCGUGGGGAGCAAACA